rnacentral:rRNA from 1 species
CCUACGGGAGGCAGCAGUGGGGAAUAUUGGACAAUGGGGGCAACCCUGAUCCAGCCAUGCCGCGUGUGUGAAGAAGGCCCUCGGGUUGUAAAGCACUUUCAGUGAGGAAGAACGCCUGGUGGUUAAUACCCAUCAGGAAAGACAUCACUCACAGAAGAAGCACCGGCUAACUCCGUGCCAGCAGCCGCGGUAAUACGGAGGGUGCGAGCGUUAAUCGGAAUUACUGGGCGUAAAGCGCGCGUAGGUGGCUUGAUAAGCCGGUUGUGAAAGCCCCGGGCUCAACCUGGGAACGGCAUCCGGAACUGUCAAGCUAGAGGGCAGGAGAGGAAGGUAGAAUUCCCGGUGUAGCGGUGAAAUGCGUAGAGAUCGGGAGGAAUACCAGUGGCGAAGGCGGCCUUCUGGACUGACACUGACACUGAGGUGCGAAAGCGUGGGUAGCAAACAGGAUUAGAUACCCCAGUAGUC